CCUUUUAGCGGUUCGUGGGUAGAGAACGAAUGUAAGUGAAGAUAGAAAAGGGUAAAGAGAGUGAGACUGCUCUCCUCUUUCUAUAAUUUGUUGGAAUUUGGAUUUGACAUUUAUGUGUUAUUACACAAUACAAGUAGAAGCAGAAGACUGGUUAGUGGUUUGUAUCAAAUACCUAAAGAAUAAAAAGCAACUAUCUGAUGACAAUUCAUGUGUACGCGGC
rnacentral:lncRNA from 1 species